rnacentral:rRNA from 1 species
UACGAAGGGGGCGAGCGUUGCUCGGAAUUACUGGGCGUAAAGGGCUCGUAGGCGGCCAACUAAGUCGGACGUGAAAUCCCUCAGCUUAACUGGGGAACUGCGUCCGAUACUGGAUGGCUUGGAUUUGGGAGAGGGAUGCGGAAUUCCAGGUGUAGCGGUGAAAUGCGUAGAUAUCUGGAGGAACACCGGUGGCGAAGGCGGCAUCCUGGACCAAUAUUGACGCUGAGGAGCGAAAGCCAGGGGAGCAAACGGG